rnacentral:rRNA from 1 species
AUUGAACGCUGGCGGCAGGCCUAACACAUGCAAGUCGAGCGGAUGACGGGAGCUUGCUCCCGGGUGACGAGCGGCGGACGGGUGAGUAAUGUCUGGGAAACUGCCUGAUGGAGGGGGAUAACUACUGGAAACGGUAGCUAAUACCGCAUAACGUCGCAAGACCAAAGAGGGGGACCUUCGGGCCCCUUGCCAUCAGAUGUGCCCAGGUGGGGUUAGCUAGUAGGGGGGGUAACGGCUCACCUAGGCGACGAUCCCUAGCUGGUCUGAGAGGAUGACCAGCCACACUGGAACUGAGACACGGUCCAGACUCCUACGGGAGGCAGCAGUGGGGAAUAUUGCACAAUGGGCGCAAGCCUGAUGCAGCCAUGCCGCGUGUAUGAAGAAGGCCUUCGGGUUGUAAAGUACUUUCAGCGGGGAGGAAGGCGAUAAGGUUAAUAACCUUGUCGAUUGACGUUACCCGCAGAAGAAGCACCGGCUAACUCCGUGCCAGCAGCCGCCGUAAAAC